CUCCCAUCAUUUUGUUGGUCUAAUCGGAUCGAGACCGUUCGGUUAAAGCUACCAUAUAAUGUUUACUUCUUUGGAACAACGGCGUGUCCUCCUUGGUUAACACUGUUGGAGAUCGCAGAUGCGGUAUCUAAUGUCGUGUAAAUCACACUUUCCCUGCGAGACAUUCGUUAAAACCACGGAAUCCUAUUUGCAUCGGAAGUAUUAGUUCAUCCUGCGGUCUGUGUUCAUGAUGGCGAUGUUCCGCAGUUUUGUGUCUGCUGCUCAGCUCAGGCAGCAUCAGCAGCAAAAUGGAGCCGCAGCAGCCGCACCUGGGGAAAGCCUGGAGAGCCAGUUCUCUUGUCCCAUCUGUCUGGAGGUGUACCACAAACCUGUCAGCAUCGCAAGCUGCGCCCAUACUUUCUGUGGGGAUUGUCUACAGCCGUGUUUGCAGGUGACAUCGCCUCUCUGUCCCCUCUGCCGUAUGCCUUUCGAUCCAAAGAAAGUGGACAAAUCCCCCAGCGUGGAGAAGCAGCUCUCUUCAUAUAAGGCUCCAUGUAGAGGGUGCAGCAAAAAGGUCACCCUGGUCAAAAUGCGGUCGCAUAUUUCAACUUGCACAAAGGUUCAGGAACAGAUGGCCAAUUGCCCAAAGUUCAUGCCUGUGGUCCCCACCUCACAACCCAUUCCCAGCAAUAUUCCAAACCGCUCCACAUUUGUGUGCCCGUACUGUGGCGCUCGCAACUUGGACCAACAGGAACUAGUGAAGCACUCCAUGGAGAACCAUCGCAAUGACCCCAACAAAGUGGUAUGUCCAGUAUGUUCAGCUAUGCCUUGGGGUGACCCUAGCUAUAAGAGCUCCAACUUUCUGCAGCAUCUUCUCCACCGGCACAAAUUCUCCUAUGACACAUUUGUGGACUACAGCAUUGAUGAGGAGGCAGCACUGCAGGCAGCACUGACCCUCUCACUGUCUGAGAGCUGAGAGUCUGGCAUUAUAUCCUGUACCACAAACACAACCAUGUGAAGGAUCUUCUCACGUGUCUUGUUUUAGGCUAAAUAUUUUCAUUGUUCCUCUGUUUGUCCUCUCACUCUACCUCUCUUCUGGUAUAUAUUUCUGAGCUACACUCCAGCUAGAUCCUGAAGUAGCUCGAUAGCUUGUUUGCCAGUUGCAUAACAGUUGAGCAAGCUUGUUACUUCCUGAAUUUUAAGGGGAGGAGCUUCUGGUUGGCUAUCAUCAUCAUUAUCGUUAUCGUAACCAUCAAAACUGCAACCAACAAAACACUGAUGUAUGCAAAAAGUCAGACAAAGGAAUAGAUCAAUAACACCAUGCUUGUUCUUGUUGUUCUUCCUAUUGUUUUCUGUCCAAAUGUGACUUAGACCCCAGCAAAGAAUUGAAAGCCAGUACAGAAUCAGUUCAAAACAGUGCGUCAUGUUAAAGCGAAGUUGAAAAGGGACCUAUGUUGGGGUUGGCUGUCCUCUCAUCUUUAGGCAAUACCAAUAGAGAGAAUGAGAGAUUGAUCUUCAGCAUCCUCAUUAUCACUCAUUUCUUCAUGUAUGGAAUGCGGAAUACCAUCUGCCCUUUUUUAAUCAAGAGUUGAUGUGAAUAAUUGCACUCGUCACAGUUUUCUACAUGUCUGAAUUAUAGUAUCGUUGUUCUUUUCUAGUUCAACAACAGAAUAUUGACCGACAGGACUGCAUACUCUGCUCUUAACCUGCUACAGUAAUAUUUUCUAAGAAGCAUCGGAUAAGAUUAAAAUUUAUAUUUUUGGAAAAAAGUUUCCGUUUUAAAUGGUGCACUAAUAAUAAGACUGCAAGCUUCUAGAGGUGUGCUGAAACGUUUUAUCUUUUAAUGUAUCCAUUAGUACUGUUCAUCUGUAUCACUUACAAGUGCUGACUUCAAGUCCUUUGGGAGAUUUUUAUUUAUGAGUUCCGUAAUCUUAAUUUUGAUGCAACGUGAAUUCAAGCGAUUUGGUCGGAAUAAGAUGGAUUCAUUGGGCAAGUGUCUUUCUCUCUCGAUCAUUUCCCGAUAAAAGCUUUUUAGCAUAUAUUUUGUCAUUCUUGUGCUGCCACAGAAAAUGAUAGGAAGUGUUCGCACACUUAAUGAUCAACAGGGGGCCAAAAAUUGGUGUAUUAACAUGGCAUAGUUAGCCUGCUGGUUGAGUCUGUAAUUACACACACUGCUUUGUAAAAGCACCUUUUCCCAUUCAAAAUUAUGAUGUGAAUUCAUUUUCACAGUUAUAGUGUAUUAUGAUUAAUACCAGCUUCUGCCACAACUGAUUCUUGUAUUGACAGGCAUUCAUGUCCACUAAAUACAAUUAUUCCAACGUGACUUGAAAGCAGCAUUGAUAUGGAGAAACUUGAGAACAUCCUAACAGGAAGUGGAACAGUGUGUAGUUGUUUUGGCCACAAAGUCAUUCAGAGCGCAGACUCGGUUUCUUUGGUCUUUUACUACUACUGGUAGGGCUUUCUGUACUUUGUAAGUGUUGAAUCUAAGCCUAUGUACAGUGUUAAGGAGCACUGAUGUUUAGAGGAGCAUUGGUGUGAUCGGGUUAGGCAUUAGAGAUCAGAAUCUAAUAUCCCUACUUUGCAGACAUGCCUAACCAUGUCUUUAAGAGUUGAGUUGACAAAACAUACUCUACCCAAGUACACAAAUGUGAAUGCCAAAGCAUAGCUCAAAGUCAACAUUCUUUGUUUUCCUUUCUCUAAAAGGAUUUAAAACCAAACAAAGUAUUAAAAUAUGUAAUCCAAACAUGUUUCCUUGGAAGUAUUCAGGAAUGUUGGUGUUAUUACAGUGUAAUAACUGUGGGGUUAACAAACCACAGUAUUCCGAAUGCGAUAGUCACCUUCAAAUUGCUGUGCUAUUAAACUGGAUGCAUUAAGUAGCUAGCUAUAAACAUGUUGACUUUUAUCAGACAAGAUUCUUGUCAGACUGUUGUUGCGUCUUGACCAUACUUGACACAAAAGAAAACUGCCUCUAGAAUAAUUUAAAUUGCGAUAUUGCGUUUACAGUAAUGCUGUGAAUAGAUACUUGUGUUAUGAAUUGCGUUUUGACACAUUUUGGAAUACAACUUGUGAAACUGAGCUUGUGUACUAUAGCUAGAAUCAACUGUGUUUGUGUACCUGCAUAGAGUAUGUUACAGGUCUACAAUGAUGUGCUCCAAGCUUCUGAGUUUCUGUGGCGCACUUAGUUUGGCAGAUUAGUUUGAUGCUGGUGCAUCAUUACGCAUUUGAUAUAGAUUUGAUAACUCUGCCAGAUGUAAUGGUUUUAAUAUAUUUAGAGCCAAUCUUGACAAAAGAGUGGAAGACCAUUAGGGCUGGUUGAAAAUUUUUUCAAGUUACCAACUUU